rnacentral:tRNA from 1 species
CGCGGGGUGGAGCAGCUUGGUAGCUCGUCGGGCUCAUAACCCGAAGGUCGGAGGUUCAAAUCCUUCCCCCGCAACCA